CCUACGGGAGGCUGCAGUGGGGAAUAUUGGACAAUGGGCGAGAGCCUGAUCCAGCCAUGCCGCGUGUGUGAAGAAGGCCUUCGGGUUGUAAAGCACUUUCAGUGGGGAAGAAAGCCUUGGGGCUAAUACCCUCGAGGAAGGACAUCACCCACAGAAGAAGCACCGGCUAACUCCGUGCCAGCAGCCGCGGUAAUACGGAGGGUGCGAGCGUUAAUCGGAAUUACUGGGCGUAAAGCGCGCGUAGGCGGUCUGAUAAGCCGGUUGUGAAAGCCCCGGGCUCAACCUGGGAACGGCAUCCGGAACUGUCAGGCUAGAGUGCAGGAGAGGAAGGUAGAAUUCCCGGUGUAGCGGUGAAAUGCGUAGAGAUCGGGAGGAAUACCAGUGGCGAAGGCGGCCUUCUGGACUGACACUGACGCUGAGGUGCGAAAGCGUGGGUAGCAAACAGGAUUAGAUACCCGUGUAGUC
rnacentral:rRNA from 1 species